CAACUUUGCAAACUUAAGCUGUGAUGUUCUUUUCAGAGAUAAUAGGUUUUCUCCUGGUAACCCUUCCAAACAAACCAUAAGUGUUCAGUCUAUUUCAAAUUGCACUGUCAUGAACUUUAACAUUUAACAUGCUAACUGAGGCCUGUGGAGUGAGAUUUUUUGCAAUUUCUCUGAGCAUUACACUGUCAUACCUUUGGGGUGAAUUUGCUGGGAUGUCCACUCCUGGGAAAAUUGGCAACUGUCUUGAAUGCUUUACACUUUUGAAUAAUCCUUCUCACUGUAGAAUGAUGGACUUUUGGAAAUGGUCUUAUAAUCCUUUCCAGUUUGAUGGGCAGCAGCAAUUGCUUC